GUGCGCUCUUGCCCCUGCAGGACAAAACUAGGCCCGCCGAGACUCGGCGCGCGCGCUCUGGGCCGAGUAUCGGGUGCCGGGUGGCCACGCCGAGACAAGUCGUCGCUCUGCAGGAAUUCCAUAGCUGCGGGGCUGCAGCAGAGAACUUUCUAUUCCCUGUGGUUGGGCAAUGCCAAGGGAAACCCACUUCCUCAUCCUGGAACUUCCCCAGCCGCCGAGGUUCACAGGGCCCGCUCCAGCCAACCAGCGCGCCACAAACACCGCCGCCGAGCUGUUUACAGGAAGCAGACAGCAAGCCUUUUGUGUUUAGCUUCUAUAAAAGGAAAUUCUGCAGAGGACUUCCUGGAAGGAGUGAUGAGGCUCACGCACAAACGCACUAGCCAGCUCCACUCCCAUUCAUUCAAGCGAAAAUACAUGUAAGAAAACACUUUUUCCCCCUCCAACUAUUGAAUCACUCCACUGACUGGGCUCAGCCAGUGACUGGAGCGUGAAACACACACUGCCCAGCUGUUCACCCCGUCCUGUUAUUCAAACAGCUGCCCUCCCUCUGUGUCAACAUCACCGUCCACCAGACGGAACCGGACCGGCGAUGCGAAGCGACCGAACUGCAAGACGAGGCUCCGGCCCCACAAUCAGACGCCUGUUCACGUCUCAGUCUGUCCCUGUACACGGAUGACUGCUGCUGCUGUGUUCCUAUUUAUUCCCACUGAGAAAUCACGCUCAGCCACUGACGUGGAGCGGCCACGGCCGACACACACGACACACAAAACCGACCAGCAACCAGCUUGUUUGGCGAAUCAACAGGACAGAAACUGAAAGAAUCUGUUUACAAAGAGCUGAGACUUCACAGAAUGUGCUAAUUAGAAAACGCCUGCUGUAUAAAUGAGGAUUAUUACCUCUAAAUUCUUUUAGUGGAAUGCUUGCAGGAAGAUAAACAAUAAACAAACAAGUGAGAGAGGUGGUAAAUAAAUGAUAUUUCAUAAGAGACAAGUUAUUUUCAGUAACUUCUGAACUUUAUGUGAGUCCAUGAAAGCCAAGCCCAGACCUCAGAACCAGAAGCUGGAUGUCCACUGCUGUACUUUACAGACAGGAAAUGUUUAUGGUCAACUGAAUGUGUCAUGAGCCAAAGGUUAUAGCGUAAACAGCUACAGUGUGAGACGAGAGGCGGCCUGGUGGUUCUGAAGGGGCAAACAGACUCACCGGCUGCUGUCAACCACGGAAAAAAUCCCCCACUCCUGCCGAACUCCGGCCCGUUCCGGCUGCUCUCAGAUGUCACGCUGAGAUUUCACUACCGCUCCUGGAUGUGCGUGGAUAAAGCGGUGCUGGUCCACCACACGGGGCUUUUUCCCUCCGUUCUCUCCCCAAGGACUCGCUCAGCCUGGUUCUUAGCUCGGGCCGGGGAGGAACCUGGCGGGGAGGAAGCGGAACGUCGUAAGAACAAACGAGGAGUCGGAACCUCGCGGCUUCCGUAGGGGUCACAUGGUGCCUAGAGCGCAUGCGUACGCGAUGCGCCUGAGCGCCACUACGGUAAAUCACAGCACAACACCGGAAUCACGGUGACUUUUCAAAAUACAAAAUUUCAAAAUUCCUUCCUGACGUCAGCGAGACGUUUAUAUAUUUCAGAGGUUUUUUUUCUUUAACUGAAAGCACUGAAACUGAGUUUAACUGAUUCGUUAAAUGUUUACUACAUCGUUCAUGUAUUUAAAAUAACGAACUGGGAACUCGUGGCAACAUUGAAAAGUGGAAUAAACAAAAGCAAAACUA